GAAGGCGGCAAGGUUUGUGCAUUGCCUACAGCAGGUGAAACAGUUUGCAUACUAGAAGCUGAGCCAGUUGGAGGGAUCCCUGAAGCAGUGGAAGGCUGCAAGGUUUGUGCAUUGACUGCAGCAAGUGAAACAGUUUGCAUAGUAGAAGUUGAGCUACUUGAAGGGAUCCCUGAAGCAGUAGAACGCUGCAAAGUUUGUGCAUUGACUACAGCAGGUGAAACAGUUUGCAUAGUAGAAGUUGAGCCAGUUGAAGGGAUCCCUGAAGCAGUAGAACGCUGCAAGGUUUGUGCAUUGACUACAGCAGGUGAAACAGUUUGCAUAGUAGAAGCUGAGCCAGUUGAAGGAAUCCCUGAAGCAGUAGAAAGCUGCAAUGUUUGCGCAUUGACUACAGCAGGUGAAACAAUUUGCAUAGUAGAAGCUGAGCCAGUUGAAGGGAUCCCUGAAGCAGUAGAACGCUGCAAUAUUUGUGCAUUAACUACAGCGGGUGAAACAGUUUGCAUACUAGAAGCUGAGCCAGUUGAAGGGAG
rnacentral:lncRNA from 1 species